GACGAACGCUGGCGGCGCGCUUAACACAUGCAAGUCGAACGGAAAGGCCUGCUUUCCCUUGUGGAUUGCGGGUACUCGAGUGGCGAACGGGUGAGUAAAACGUGAGUGAUCUGCCCCCAACUUGGGUAUAAGCCUGGGAAACUGGGUCUAAUUCCCGAUAGGACUGCAGGGUGGUGCCUGUGGUGGAAAACGAUUUUCUAGUGGUUGGGGAUGAGCUCGCGGCCUAUCAGCUUGUUGGUGGGGUAAUGGCCUACCAAGGCGGCGACGGGUAGCCGGCCUGAGAGGGGGGACGGCGACAUUGGGACUGAGAUACGGCCCAGACUCCUACGGGAGGCAGCAGUGGGGAAUAUUGCACAAUGGGCGGAAGCCUGAUGCAGCGACGCCGCGUGGGGGAUGACGGCCUUCGGGUUGUAAACUCCUUUCGACCGCGAGGAAGCCACCUGGUUGGAAGGGUGGUGACGGUAGUGGUAGAAGAAGCACCGGCUAACUACGUG
rnacentral:rRNA from 1 species